ensembl:lncRNA
UUAAAACACAGCCGUUUGGGCAUUUUAACACCGCUUGUGUCAUUUUGUGGGGCUUUGCGUACACUGGAGAGUCUAUUGUAAACAACCGUUACGUGCGGUCUGGCUCGUUACACUGCCUAGUCCCAGCAUUCCCGUGUGUUUACCGUUUGAGUGGGGACAUCCAAUAUAUGCUGUUUGGCAUCUACUUCAUUUCUAUCCCGUGGAUACUGACGUCAGCUCUGCUUUCUGGUGUGGCAAACGGCUGCGUUAUUUGGAGCUGUGUGUCCGACGGCAGUGAGGCUUUCCUUCACCGUGUGCUGUGUUAUGCUGUGUGAGCACCACUGAUAAAAUCACGGGUAUUGGAGAGCUGUGUGUCCGACGGCAGUGAGGCUUUCCUUCACCGUGUGCUGUGUUAUGCUGUCCCAUUUGAUGCCAAUAGGCUACAGCUCCGAAGUAAAUGUGAAUCCUUAUUGUGGAUUGUGAUUUCCAGCUUAGUAAUUGGCUGGGUGACUAUUAUUCCUGCAUUUUAAACUUUUGUACUAAUAAACAAACUCUAUUUUGCUACCCACGUCUCUUGCUCAUUUUAUUCAGUGGAAUGAACCUGGGUUCCUUAUAACAUUUUAAGUGAACUGUGAU